rnacentral:lncRNA from 1 species
CAAGAAGCCCCAGGUAUUCCUAAUCCCAAUUGUUUAAGUCUUUCCAGUGUUAACCACCAGACAUGUGAUGGAUUAAGGACUCCAGAUUAUUCCAGUUCCCAGCUGUCUUAGUCAGGGUUCUCCGGAGAAGUUAUCACAUGAUUACAGAGGCUGGCAAGUCUGACAUCUGCAGGGUCGACCAGCAAGUCGGAGACCCAUGGAAGUUGAUGUUGCAGCUCAAGUCCAAAGGCAAUCUGCUGGCAGAAUCCUCUCUUCUGUUUCUUCCGUGUGUUUUUACUUAAGAAACUUAUUGGAUGAGCCCCACCCACAUUAUGGAGGGAAAUUGUCAAUGCUCUGGAUGCAAAUUGAUUUUUUCUUAGGAAUUUAGAGUUGCUGAGUUUUGCAUCAAGACUGAAAGAGGCCAAAAAGAGAGGCUGUGUGGUAGGACUGUGUGAUGACUCAUCCUAC